GCUGUGUUGCACUAUGCUGAUCUCAGUGUGUGUGUGUAGGUGCUGAAGGCUGUGCUGCACUCUGCUGAUCUCAGUGUGUGUGUGUGUGUGUGUUUGUGUAGGUGCUGAAGGCUGUGCUGCACUGUGCUGAUCUCAGUGUGUAUGUGUGUGUGUAGGUGCUGAAGGCUGUGCUGCACUGUGCUGAUCUGAGUGUGUGUGUGUGUAGGUGCUGAAGGCUGUGCUGCACUGUGCUGAUCUCAGUGUGUGUGUGUGUAGGUGCUGAAGGCUGUGCUGCACUGUGCUGAUAUGUGUGUGUGUGUGUGUGUAGGUGCUGAAGGCUG